AUUGAACGCUGGCGGCAGGCCUAACACAUGCAAGUCGAACGAGUGGCGGACGGGUGAGUAAUGUCUGGGAAACUGCCCGAUGGAGGGGGAUAACUACUGGAAACGGUAGCUAAUACCGCAUACCAUCGGAUGUGCCCAGAUGGGAUUGGCUAGUAGGUGGGGUAACGGCUCACCUAGGCGACGAUCCCUAGCUGGUCCGAGAGGAUGACCAGCAACACUGGAACUGUGACACGGUCCAUACUCCUACGGGAGGCAGCAGUGGGGAAUAUUGCACACUGGGCGCAAGCCGGCUGCAGCCAUGCCGCGUGGAUGAAGAGGGCCUUCGGGUUGUAAAGUACUUUCAGCGGGGAGGCGUUACCCGCAGAAGAAGCACCGGCUAACUCCGUGCCAGCAGCCGCGGUAAUAC
rnacentral:rRNA from 1 species